CCGGCAGGCCCACGACGGCCCAGUCCGUGAAAAAACCCCAAAACCCAACUAGAGGCCAUCGACAUUUCAAGAAGAUCCAUCGACAUUUCAGAAAAAACCUUCGACAUUUUGCAGAAAAGCAUGUUCGACAUUCCCAAGAAAAGGGGAUAGGCGUCGACAUUUAACAAGGAAGUCGAUACCUUCAAAAGAGAAGGUCAGGAUCGACAUUCCGCAGGUAAGCAUGUUCGACAUUCCCAGGAAAAGGGAUAGGCGUCGACAUUUAACAAGGAAGUCGAUACCUUCAAAAGAGAAGGUCAGGAUCGACAUUCCGCAGGUAAGCAUGUUCGACAUUCCCAGGAAAAGGGGAUAGGCGUCGACAUUUGGCAAGGAACUCGAAACCUUCAAAAGAGAAGGUCAGGCUCGACAUUCCACACCACUCUCCUCGACAUCCUCAGAAAAAGGUGAGAUCGACAUUUUUAGACAACAUCGACAUUUCCAGGGAGAAAUGAGAUCGACUUGUCAAAAAUUCGACACCUUUAGAAA
rnacentral:lncRNA from 1 species